rnacentral:rRNA from 1 species
UACGGAGGGUGCGAGCGUUGUCCGGAAUCACUGGGCGUAAAGCGUGCGCAGGCGGUUAUGCAAGACAGAUGUGAAAUCCCCGGGCUCAACCUGGGAACUGCAUUUGUGACUGCAUGGCUAGAGUACGGUAGAGGGGGAUGGAAUUCCGCGUGUAGCAGUGAAAUGCGUAGAUAUGCGGAGGAACACCGAUGGCGAAGGCAAUCCCCUGGACCUGUACUGACGCUCAUGCACGAAAGCGUGGGGAGCAAACAGG